rnacentral:rRNA from 1 species
AUAUCAAUAAGCGGAGGAAAAGAAACUAACAAGGAUUCCCCUAGUAACUGCGAGUGAAGCGGGAAAAGCUCAAAUUUGAAAUCUGGCAGUCUAUUUUUUCUUCUUUGGCUGUCCGAGUUGUAAUCUAGAGAAGUGCUUACCUGCACUGGACCAUGUAUAAGUCUCCUGGAAUGGAGCGUCGCAGAGGGUGAGAAUCCCGUCUUUGACAUGGACYGCCAGUGUGUUGUGGUGUGCUCUCAAAGAGUCGAGUUGUUUGGGAAUGCAGCUCUAAAUGGGUGGUAAACUCCAUCUAAAGCUAAAUAUUGGCGAGAGACCGAUAGCGAACAAGUACCGUGAGGGAAAGAUGAAAAGGACUUUGGAAAGAGAGUUAAACAGUAUGUGAAAUUGUUGAAAGGGAAACGCUUGAAGUCAGUUGUGUCGGCUAGGGAUCAACCUAGCUCUUUUGCUGGGUGAACUUCCUAUUCUGACAGGCCAACAUCAGUUUYGACCGCCGGAAAAGAGYGGAGGGAAUGUGGCACCUUCGGGUGUGUUAUAGCCCUUUGUCAUAUGCGGCGGUCGGGACUGAGGGAUGCAGCGUGCCGCGAGGCUGGGUUUCGACCAYGUUCACGCUUAGGAUGUUGGCUUUUAAUGGCUUCAAUCGACCCGUCUUGAAACACGGACCAAGGAGUCUAACAUGCCUGCGAGUGUUUGGGUGGAAAACCCUUGCGCGCAAUGAAAGUGAAAGUUGAGAUCCCUGUCGUGGGGAGCAUCGACGCCCGGACUUGAGCUUUCAGYGACGGAUCCGCGGUAGAGCAUGCAUGUUGGGACCCGAAAGAUGGUGAACUAUGCCUGAAUAGGGCAAAGCCAGAGGAAACUCUGGUGGAGGCUCGUAGCGAUUCUGACGUGCAAAUCGAUCGUCAAAUUUGGGUAUAGGGGCGAAAGACUAAUCGAACCAUCUAGUAGCUGGUUCCUGCC